rnacentral:sRNA from 1 species
CACAAACCUGUGAUUACCUGGCGGGUGAACCGCUCCGGUGGCGGGGAGAGCGGGCUCCCAGCGCUGGGUAGGGCCCGGGUUCCGGCGAGCGCCAUCCCGGAGCGUCAGUUUCCCAGUUUGGGAAGUGAGGAGAACCUGCCUCGCCCUCCCCCGCCAAGGCUUAGGGAAGGGACUAUGGCAGUUCCAAGAGGAAAUCAGGCUCUCACUCUGUUGCCCAGGCUGGAUUGCAGUGGCGUGAUCAUGCCUCACUGCAGUCUCAACCUCCCUGGGCUCAAGCAAUCCUCCCACUUCAGCCUCCAGAGUAGCUGGGACCACAGUGUGGCUGUCCAGCUGGGCUGAGUCGCCCAAGAAGGACGUGACAGGUGCCGACGCCACCGCCGAGCCCAUGAUCCUGGAACAGUACGUGGUGGUGUCCAACUAUAAGAAGCAGGAGAACUCGGAGCUGAGCCUCCAGGCCGGGGAGGUGGUGGAUGUCAUCGAGAAGAACGAGAGCGGCUGGUGGUUCGUGAGCACUUCUGAGGAGCAGGGCUGGGUCCCUGCCACCUACCUGGAGGCCCAGAAUGGUACUCGGGAUGACUCCGACAUCAACACCUCUAAGACUGGAGAAGAGGAGAAGUAUGUCACUGUGCAGCCUUACACCAGCCAAAGCAAGGACGAGAUUGGCUUUGAGAAGGGCGUCACAGUGGAGGUGAUCCGGAAGAAUCUGGAAGGCUGGUGGUAUAUCAGAUACCUGGGCAAAGAGGGCUGGGCGCCAGCAUCCUACCUGAAGAAAGCCAAGGAUGACCUGCCAACCCGGAAGAAGAACCUGGCCGGCCCAGUGGAGAUCAUCGGGAACAUCAUGGAGAUCAGCAACCUGCUGAACAAGAAGGCAUCUGGGGACAAGGAAACUCCACCAGCCGAAGGCGAGGGCCAUGAGGCCCCCAUUGCCAAGAAGGAGAUCAGCCUGCCCAUCCUCUGCAAUGCCUCCAAUGGCAGCGCUGUGGGCGUUCCUGACAGGACUGUCUCCAGGCUGGCCCAGGGCUCUCCAGCUGUGGCCAGGAUUGCCCCUCAGCGGGCCCAGAUCAGCUCCCCGAACCUACGGACAAGACCUCCACCACGCAGAGAAUCCAGCCUGGGGUUCCAGCUGCCAAAGCCACCAGAGCCCCCUUCUGUUGAGGUGGAGUACUACACCAUUGCCGAAUUCCAGUCGUGCAUUUCCGAUGGCAUCAGCUUUCGGGGUGGACAGAAGGCAGAGGUCAUUGAUAAGAACUCAGGUGGCUGGUGGUACGUGCAGAUCGGUGAGAAGGAGGGCUGGGCCCCCGCAUCAUACAUCGAUAAGCGCAAGAAGCCCAACCUGAGCCGCCGCACAAGCACGCUGACCCGGCCCAAGGUGCCCCCACCAGCACCCCCCAGCAAGCCCAAGGAGGCUGAGGAGGGCCCUACGGGGGCCAGUGAGAGCCAGGACUCCCCACGGAAGCUCAAGUACGAGGAGCCUGAGUAUGACAUCCCUGCAUUCGGCUUUGACUCAGAGCCUGAGCUAAGCGAGGAGCCCGUGGAGGACAGAGCCUCAGGGGAGAGGCGGCCUGCCCAGCCCCACCGGCCCUCGCCAGCCUCUUCUCUGCAGCGGGCCCGCUUCAAGGUGGGUGAGUCUUCAGAGGAUGUGGCCCUGGAAGAGGAGACCAUCUAUGAGAAUGAGGGCUUCCGGCCAUAUGCAGAGGACACCCUGUCAGCCAGAGGCUCCUCCGGGGACAGCGACUCCCCAGGCAGCUCUUCGCUGUCCCUGGCCAGGAAAAACUCCCCCAAAUCAGGCUCCCCCAAGUCAUCAUCACUCCUAAAGCUCAAGGCAGAGAAGAAUGCCCAGGCAGAACUGGGGAAGAACCACUCCUCAGCCUCCUUUUCCUCAUCCAUCACCAUCAACACCACUUGCUGCUCCUCCUCUUCCUCCUCCUCCUCUUCCUUGUCCAAAACCAGUGGUGACUUGAAGCCCCGCUCUGCUUCGGACGCAGGCAUCCGCGGCACUCCCAAGGUCAGGGCAAAGAAGGAUGCUGAUGCGAACGCUGGGCUGACCUCCUGUGCCCGGGCGAAGCCAUCGGUCCGGCCCAAGCCGUUCCUGAAUCGAGCAGAGUCGCAGAGCCAAGAGAAGAUGGACAUCAGCACUUUACGGCGCCAGCUGAGACCCACGGGCCAGCUCCGUGGAGGGCUCAAGGGCUCCAAGAGUGAGGAUUCGGAGCUGCCCCCGCAGACGGCCUCUGAGGCUCCCAGUGAGGGGUCUAGGAGAGGCUCAUCUGACCUCAUCACCCUCCCAGCCACCACUCCCCCAUGUCCCACCAAGAAGGAAUGGGAAGGGCCAGCCACCUCGUACAUGACAUGCAGUGCCUACCAGAAGGUCCAGGACUCAGAGAUCAGCUUCCCCGCGGGCGUGGAGGUGCAGGUGCUGGAGAAGCAGGAGAGCGGGUGGUGGUACGUGAGGUUUGGGGAGCUGGAGGGCUGGGCCCCUUCCCACUAUUUGGUGCUGGAUGAGAACGAGCAACCUGACCCCUCUGGCAAAGAGCAGGACACAGUGCCCGCCAAGGGCAGGCAGAACGAAGGCAAGUCAGACAGCCUGGAGAAGAUCGAGAGGCGCGUCCAAGCACUGAACACCGUCAACCAGAGCAAGAAGGCCACGCCCCCCAUCCCCUCCAAACCUCCCGGGGGCUUUGGCAAGACCUCAGGCACUCCAGCGGUGAAGAUGAGGAAUGGAGUGCGGCAGGUGGCGGUCAGGCCCCAGUCGGUGUUUGUGUCCCCGCCACCCAAGGACAACAACCUGUCCUGCGCCCUGCGGAGGAAUGAGUCACUCACGGCCACUGAUGGCCUCCGAGGUGUCCGACGGAACUCCUCCUUUAGCACUGCUCGCUCUGCUGCCGCCGAGGCCAAGGGCCGCCUGGCCGAACGGGCCACCAGCCAGGGUUCAGACUCACCCCUGCUGCCCGCCCAGCGCAAUGGCAUCCCCGUGUCCCCUGUGCGCCCCAAGCCCAUUGAGAAGUCUCAGUUCAUCCACAAUAACCUCAAAGACGUGUACGUCUCUAUCGCGGACUACGAGGGGGAUGAGGAGACAGCAGGCUUCCAGGAGGGAGUGUCCAUGGAGGUUCUGGAGAGGAACCCUAAUGGCUGGUGGUACUGCCAGAUCCUGGAUGGUGUGAAGCCCUUCAAAGGCUGGGUGCCUUCCAACUACCUUGAGAAAAAGAACUAGCAGAGGGCCUGGGCUCUUCCAGCCUCAGUGUGCCUCUCUGGCCGCCCACUGGAUGAGCGGUGAGACGAACAAAAGGGAAAGGAAAAAACGGGAGGGGUGGGGGGUGGACAACAUUCAACACUGCAGAAUGGGUGACCUCAAAGAUGCCCCCUGUCCAAGCCAUCCCACAGCUGGAAGGUAGGGGAUGGGGGUGCCCACACUGAGUAAGGAAGGGAAUGGACCAGGGAGUCCCAGGCCUGAGACCCAGGGCCAAGAAAGCUGAGAUCCCCUGUGCACCGUAGGGACUUCACCAAUGGAUUACAUGCCAUCUGGGACAGGCCAUGUGGGAGAUCCCAGUUGUGCCUUUGCUACAGAUCUGGAAAAGACAUGGUCAUGGGGGCCUCCAGUAUCCUGCCCCUGCUUGGCCCGGUUUUGAUUGCUGGCAUCUUGCCACCCCAGGUAGCCCUGAUAUUGUCCUAAGCUGUAUUUGUGAAUUGUGCUGGUUUCCUGGGCAUUGCCACUGCCUACCAUAGGUGGGUACAUUAGAAGCCACCACUGGCUUUGGGGCUUGGGGGUGUCUUCUGAGCUCAAGCCUGCUUCUGGGCCAGGCCAUUGUCACUGUUAGUUGAAGAAAAAGCAGUUCCCAGGUGCCAGCAAGGACCAUCUUUCAUAACUGUCACUGUCUUGGCCUUGAGAAGAGAGCCCGCUCUCUGCGGGGCACGCCAUGGAGGACACAGUACCAGAGUUUACAGAGAGGGUGGGCAAAGUCACUGGUCUCUUCCUAAUCUGCACAGACUAUUUUGGGUAUUUCCGGGCGGGCAGUUCCUUUGCAUGUUUCGGGAGAGGUUUGUUGAUUUCGGGCUUAUAUGUCAGGCCUUUGGUUUGCGUCUUGUUUUAGGGGUUGUUUGGGGGCCUGGGUGGUCGGCCUCACAUGGGAAGGGGAUGGGUAGUAGAUGGGGUUUCUGUUGUAUCUUGUGGGCGGGUGAUUUUGCUUUUGUUUUUGUUUCACAUUCUUCCCCCUCCACAAGCCAAAGUCGUUUCAUUUGGUUUCCACUGUGUGGACUGUGCUGGAGCUUGGCGCCUGCCAGAAAAAUUUGGGGCUAGGCAAGCCCCGGGUUGCAGACAUGGUGAAGCAGAGAAACUGUUCUUCUGGUUCCUGCACAACCUCAGAGGGGCAAAAACCGUCCCCAGGAAGGAGGAGGGUGUUCAGGACCCAGACUUUUGGAGAGAAGGCAGCUCCCAGCCUGCUGGGUGACCGCCAUUCUGCGUGUGUUCCCCAGCUGGGCAGGGCUGGAAGCCUUACGUAUGAAGUGUGGAGAAGCAGCCAUUGUCCCCACUAUGGGCAGAGGGGGGACCCGGCUGGCCCCUUGGGUCAGACUGGAGCCAACACCGCCAGCCGCCCCCUCUGGCCUGCUGGCGAUGCCACAGGUGCCCAAGAAGAUGGAGGAUCCCUGUGCCAGGAGCCAACCUGGUCUUCCCGAGGGGCAGUGCCCCAGUGAAGACAGAAGCAAAAGAAUAAAGUUCCCUGUAGGUCCUCUGUCACCUUUGGGUUGUGUUUUUCAAUUGUUGACAUUUCAGAGGGGACCCUCUAGGAGCCCAGCCGGCUUCUCCCAAGGACUCCCCCUUCGCUGGGAGUGGAUUUCCACACGUGCCUUUGAUUUCGGACAGAUUGGGCCUCACAGCCACCGAUUCAGCUGCCAGGGUCCCUGGACUGGGGGUUGGUGUUUUCUGUAGAGGAGGAAAGGCCCUCCCUCACCCUGCUCCCCACCCAGGCAGGGUAGCAUGGGACCCAGUGUCUCAGUGCCUUCAAAACCCACCCCCACCCCUACCCUACCACACCCCAUCCCAGAGGCCUUGCCUGGGCAACCCUAAGCCCCUGUCCCUCGCCAUACACUGAUGCCUGGCAGCUAGAGCAAAUGGCUCGUGUUCUUUGUCGAAGGCCUGUGGUGAGAUUGUUUUGUUUCCUUUUGUUUUGUGAGUUUGUUUAAAAUUGAAAUUAUUUUCUUCUGCUGGACAGUAUUAAAUAGAGCAGGAUGUUGAGUUAAUCUGCUAGAUUGCAGUACUAAUGGUAGUGGUUUAGUGUCUUCAUAUUAAUAUUAUUUGUACUUAUUUGAACAAUAAUGAUAAAGAAGUGGUUCAUUAUUUUUUAAUUAAUGCACUUUAAAUAAGAUAGAAUGGAAAAAACCCAGAGAGCAAAGUGCAUUACUUAAAGAUGCAGUAUAUACUUUUCUCAUUUUUAAACAGCACAUAUUUAUUAAGAGAAAAAAAGUAAUUUAUGACUAUUUAAAAUAAAAUUUAAAAGUAG